ensembl:snoRNA
ACGUAUCUAUUUGCCAGGCCUGGAGCAGUCACUGUCUGCUACUCAGGUUUCCAUUACAGAUGCAAGAAGAAAACAUUCUCACGAUUUUUGCUUGUCUGACUGUGGCAGCCCAGAUUGAAUGGGGGAACGUGG